rnacentral:tRNA from 1 species
CGGGGUGUAGCGCAGCCUGGUAGCGCACCAGUUCGGGGUACUGGUAGUCGGCGGUUCAAAUCCGCCCACCCCGA